GUUUGACAUCUUAGGAAUGAGACAGAGAUGUUUCAGUGUCACUUCGGUGAAACCUAAAGACAGGUGGUGCAUGGCUGUCGUCAGCUCGUGUCGUGAGAUGUUGGGUUAANUCCCGCAACGAGCGCAACCCCUUUCGUAUGUUACCAUCAUUAAGUUGGGGACUCAUGCGAUACUGCCUACGAUGAGUAGGAGGAAGGUGGGGAUGACNUUAAGUCNUCAUGCCCCUUAUGCUUAGGGCUACACACGUGCUACAAUGGGUGGUACAGAGGGUUGCCAAGCCGUGAGGUGGAGCUAAUCCCUUAAAGCCAUUCUCAGUUCGGAUUGUAGGCUGAAACUCGCCUACAUGAAGCUGGAGUUACUAGUAAUCGCGGAUCACCACCCCGCGGUGAAUACCUUCUCGGGUCUUGUACACACCG
rnacentral:rRNA from 1 species